GCCACACUAUCGACUAUGACGAAGAUUUCCUCUGAGAUGAGCAUCAAGAUCAGGUCUCUGUGGAUAGCAGGACACCUUUUCUCUGAUAUCAGGACAUUUUUGAUACAGUCAGGUGUUCAUGUCUCCAAGGACACGAUCAGAUGACAUUGUCGUUCUCGUCGCCUGACUCCUGAAAUUAAAACACCAAACUCCAUUGAAGUGCUGUGUUCAGUGCAUUGAAGAAAUGCUGCAUGAGGAUGAUGAAUGGUCUGCUAAACAGAUUCAAAACGAGCUUCAGAUCCGACUGCAAUUGAAAUUAUAAAUUCGCACCAUUAGAAGGUCAAUAAAAAAACUUGGGUGAUGACUAUGGCAAAGCUCACACAGACCCUAUGUUUCGGGACACCAACAAAGCCCUGCGUCUUAGCCAAUGGCUGCCAAAGAGACCUUUGACAAUGUAAUCUUUGCUGAUGAAACAAUUGUGGCUUUGGAGCGCUUUGCUACAAAAUGUGCUACA